rnacentral:lncRNA from 1 species
CUCGUUGGCCUCAGCCUUGGACUCUUCUUCAUCCUCAUCCUCCUUGUUACCGUCAGCCUCAGACUCUUCCUCAUCCUCAUCCUUAUCUUCAUCCUCAUCCUCCUUACCCUCAGCCUUGGACUCUUCCUCAUCCUCGUCCUCAUCCUCAUCACUGUGUUCAUCCUCAUCCUCAUCAUUGUCUUCAUCCUCAUCCUCGUUACCCUCAGCCUCGGACUCUUCCUCAUCCUCAUCCUCAUCACUGUCUUCAUCCUCGUCCUCCUCGUUACCCUCAGCCUCGGACUCUUCCUCAUCCUCGUCCUCGUCCUCAUCACUGUGUUCAUCCUCGUCCUCCUCGUUACCCUCAGCCUCGGACUCUUCCUCAUCCUCGUCCUCAUCCUCAUCAUUGUCUUCAUCCUCAUCCUCCUUGUUACUGUCAGCCUCGGACUCUUCUUCAUCCUCAUCCUCAUCCUCAUCAUUGUCUUCAUCCUCGUCCUUAUCUCCAUCCUCGUCCUUAUCUCCAUCCUCAUCCUCCUCGUUGCUGUCUCCCUCAGACUCUUCCUCAUCCUCAUCCUCAUCCUCAUCAUUGUCUUCAUCUUCAUCCUCCCUGGCCUCAGCCUUGGACUACUCCUCAUCCUCAUCAUUGUCUUCAUCCUCGUCCUCCUUACCCUCAGCCUCGGACUCUUCUUCAUCCUCAUCCUCAUC